CUAUGCAAAACCUACAUUAUAGAACCAUACAGAAUGCACAGUGGUCUUCAUACUGUAGACCUCCAGCUGUUGCCAACUCCCAGUAUGCCUGGACAGUUUCUACAUAUUACAGAGUGCCUUCAUUUUACUGCCAUAGGGAGCCUAUAUAUUACUGCCACACAGGAACAACCUAUCAGCACCAUAGCCUCAGCCUGAAUAAUGGUGCCAUAUAGAGGUACUCCCGGAAACACAUAUGGCUGAGACCCCCACGAUGUUUCACAACAGAGGCACACAGAGCCUACAUAGUGCUGCAAUACAAAGCUUACUUACUAAUACUUUUAGACACCUACUUAAUAGUACCACAUGGAGAAUAAAUGGGCACUGUUGUUUCAAACAAUUUCCCUCCAUGCGAUAGCUUAUGUAAUUCCUAACCUGUCUGUAAGUCAUUUUUUACCUCCAGAAAAAAUAAUACAGAUCUUGGCCACUCGGUGUCUCUAUUCCCUGUCAUCUGCUGUUCACUGGAGGAGAAAGAGAGAGCCUGGGCUGUGUGCCUGCAAGUUGAGCCUGUCUGCCUGCUGAAGAUGAUCCACACUGAUCCUGAAAGGAAAGAACAGCCGGAUCCAUUUUUUUUUUUCGCCUUAAAGGUCCUAAAAACACGAGGCCGUCACAGGGAUCAGGAAGAGCGGGGAGACCAUUGCGUUACAGAAACUCUAUAACCAAACCAGAUCGCCCCAUAAUAAAAACAGAUUGCGGGUAACCGGAUUUCAUCAGGCUUCCCGCCAAACCAGAAGGGUUGCUUCCAUGGCUCCUGUGCGACUCUCGAGGUCUUUUACUAUGUCUGGGGGCGUCUUACGCCAAUUUACAUUACGGCUCACAAUACAGUUGGUUUGGACAUGAACCAUGCAGCCCUAAUGCCAUCUUUAUGUAUACCUCGUGUGCAGGCAUAUGGAAUACAUACCGCCUGUAGCAGUCACAGACAGGCGCAGGGUUUUGGCCACAGGUGGUUUUUCAUGCAAAAAGUUGUGAGAUUAAAGUUUAUGAUCUUCAAAUCCAUCUGUUUGAUGCGAACAAUUACAAAUACUGCGACUCUAUAAAGACUCCGGUGAUCGCACCGAGGGAAGUUAUCAUUCCUGAUAUG